UAGAGUGGAGUGGUGAUGACAUCCUCUUUAGCCAACACGGAAUGACACGCCAUCACUGCACCACCACACCACCAAGUCACCACAACACCAAGUCACCACACCACCACAACACACAUCACAACACACCCACUGGCCAGGAGGAGCGUCAAUAAGCGUGUUGCAGGAAGGAGAGGAGAGGGAAAGGAAUGGUUUGGUGAUAGUGUUGCAGGAAGAAGCGGAAAGAAGGAAAGAGGACGAAUCGACAUGAAACACGAGAGGGAGAGCUGUGCAGAAGAAGACAAACCGAGGCCAGAGAGGAGAUGAAACACGGCAAUAUGGGGCAGCGACGUCUCCUUCUCCUCCUCCGAUGAACUUUCUAUUACCCGAUUGGGAAAGUUAGUUAGUCGAGUGAAAUAGACGAGUGACACCACUGCGAAAUGAGAAACACUUGUCGAGCGAACAAACGAGCCAGUGAAUGACAAUCUUAAAACGUUGUCUGCACCUUUCUCUCCUCUUGUAUAUCAAAUUUUCCUCCUUCCUGAUGUUCUUUCGAUCUCAGGUCUUUCUCCACACACCGUCUCCUCCCUUCUAUCUCCACCUCUGCAUCUUUCUCUCCUCUCGUAUAUUAAUCUUUCCUCCUUCCUGCUGUUUGUUCUCUCUAAGGUCUUUAUCUCCACCUCGGUAUCUUUCUUUCCUCUCGUAUAUUAAUCUUUUCCCCUUCUUGCUGUUCGUUCUCUCUAAGGUCUUUAUCUCCACACCAUCUCCUCCGUUUGGCCUCCACUACUGCACCUUUCUCUCCUCUCGUAUAUUAUUUUUUCCUCCUUCCUGAUGUUCCUUUUCUCUCGUCUUCCUCCACACAUCGUCUCCUCUCUUCUACCUCCAUCUGUGCACCUUCUCGUAUGGCAAUCUUUCUCUCUGUAUGUAUUGUGCGCGGCUGAGUGAAACGCUGCCGCCAGAAGAUAAAUGAAUAGUUUGUCGAGGCAGUGUUUAAGUGCUUGAGCGUCCCUGAGGCGUCGCCAUGACAGCGCACCCAAUAGUCAUGGUGACGAAGAACGUGAGGUACAUAUAUUUUUACUUUUUAAUAACCGGAGGCUACAAACCAAGCGUGGAAAGAACAGCAAAUGACAAGGACCUGCAAGUGUUACUAUGAUUCCUUUCGUUACUCUUAAAAUAAAUGAAAAAUAAAUGAAUUGAAAUAGAUAGAAAAUGAAUGAAAAAGAGGCGAGAGAACAAGAUUAAUCGUUGCCUCAAGAAUGUGUAAAAGAAAAUACUUAGCACUGACUGAA